GACGAACGCUGGCGGCGUGCCCAAUACAUGCAAGUCGAACGCAGUGGGGACGGGUGAGUAACACGUGGGUAACCUCCCAUCAGAGGGGAUAACACUUGGAAACAGGUGCUAAACCCAUACUGAUGGAUAGCCCCGCGGUGCAUUGGCUAGUUGGUGAGGUAACGGCUCACCAAGGCCACGAUGCAUAGCAGACGUGAGAGGGUGAUCGGCCACACUGGUACGGAGACACGGACCAGACUCCUACGGAAGGCAGCAGUAGGGAAUCUUCGGCAAUGGACGCAAGCCUGACCGAGCAACGCCGCGUGAGUGAAGAAGGUUUUCGGAUCGUAAAACUCUGUUGUUAGAGAGGCGGUAUCUAAACAGUAAGCAACGGCUAACUACGUGCCAGCAGCCGCGGUAAUAC
rnacentral:rRNA from 1 species